rnacentral:lncRNA from 1 species
GGCUUUGGUGCUUGUGUGAGCUAUCUCAGAAGCGUCUGAGCAGCAGAUGGGGGAACGUGCAAUUGAAGGUUGACCUCCCCUUAGACCUGUGUUUUCCUCUGGUGGUGGCUUCAAGACUAGCCUCUACACAACAAACGAUGUAGCAGCAGGUGGUCACAGAUCUCCCCUCAAACCAGCCCAGCCAAGAUUUUUGGCCCACCUACAAUAUGGAACCAAAACAAAGAAUACCUAAAGGCUGUGCUGGACAGAUCAGAGCUUUUAAUCAAAGGUGCAGUGUUCUGGAAAGGAAAAGCACUCUCUUCAGUCCACAUACGCCUCCUGUUUACCCCACAGCUGGAGGGAGGGAGCACUCACAGCUGGGAGACAAGUCAGAGUGAGAUGGUUUUUGUU